rnacentral:misc_RNA from 1 species
GAAAUGCGAUAAGUAGUGUGAAUUGCAGAAUUCAGUGAAUCAUCGAAUCUUUGAACGCACAUUGCGCCCCUUGGUAUUCCAUGGGGCAUGCCUGUUCGAGCGUCAUUUGUACCCUCAAGCCUUGCUUGGUGUUGGGUGUUUGUCUUGCGAGACUCGCCUUAAAACAAUUGGCAGCCGGCAUACUGGUUUCGGAGCGCAGCACAAAUUGCGCUUUGUCCACGAAUGUUGGCGUCCAUGAAGCCCCCAUUUUCCACUUUUGACCUCGGAUCAGGUAGGGAUACCCGCUGAACUUAA